GACGAACGCUGGCGGCGUGCUUAACACAUGCAAGUCGAACGGAAAGGCCUGCUUUCCCUUGUGGAUUGCGGGUACUCGAGUGGCGAACGGGUGAGUAACACGUGAGUGAUCUGCCCCCAACUUGGGUAUAAGCCUGGGAAACUGGGUCUAAUUCCCGAUAGGACUGCAGGGUGGUGCCUGUGGUGGAAAACGAUUUUCUAGUGGUUGGGGAUGAGCUCGCGGCCCAUCAGCUUGUUGGUGGGGUAAUGGCCUACCAAGGCGGCGACGGGUAGCCGGCCUGAGAGGGUGGACGGCCACAGUGGGACUGAGAUACGGCCCAGACUCCUACGGGAGGCAGCAGUGGGGAAUAUUGCACAAUGGGCGGAAGCCUGAUGCAGCGACGCCGCGUGGGGGAUGACGGCCUUCGGGUUGUAAACUCCUUUCGACCGCGAGGAAGCCACCUGGUUGGAAGGGUGGUGACGGUAGUGGUAGAAGAAGCACCGGCUAACUACGUG
rnacentral:rRNA from 1 species